rnacentral:rRNA from 1 species
GGGUUGUGAGGUUAAGCGACUAAGCGUACACGGUGGAUGCCCUGGCAGUCAGAGGCGAUGAAGGACGUGCUAAUCUGCGAUAAGCGUCGGUAAGGUGAUAUGAACCGUUAUAACCGGCGAUUUCCGAAUGGGGAAACCCAGUGUGAUUCGUCACACUAUCAUUAACUGAAUCCAUAGGUUAAUGAGGCGAACCGGGGGAACUGAAACAUCUAAGUACCCCGAGGAAAAGAAAUCAACCGAGAUUCCCCCCAGUAGCGGCGAGCGAACGGGGAGCAGCCCAGAGCCUGAAUCAGUGUGUGUGUUAGUGGAAGCGUCUGGAAAGGCGCGCGAUACAGGGUGACAGCCCCGUACACAAAAAUGCACAUAUUGUGAGCUCGAUGAGUAGGGCGGGACACGUGGUAUCCUGUCUGAAUAUGGGGGGCCCAUCCUCCAAGGCUAAAUACUCCUGACUGACCGAUAGUGAACCAGUACCGUGAGGGAAAGGCGAAAAGAACCCCGGCGAGGGGAGUGAAAAAGAACCUGAAACCGUGUACGUACAAGCAGUGGGAGCACGCUUAGGCGUGUGACUGCGUACCUUUUUGUAUAAUGGGUCAGCGACUUAUAUUCUGUAGCAAGGUUAACCGAAUAGGGGAGCCGAAGGGAAACCGAGUCUUAACUGGGCGUUAAGUUGCAGGGUAUAGACCCGAAACCCGGUGAUCUAGCCAUGGGCAGGUUGAAGGUUGGGUAACACUAACUGGAGGACCGAACCGACUAAUGUUGAAAAAUUAGCGGAUGACUUGUGGCUGGGGGUGAAAGGCCAAUCAAACCGGGAGAUAGCUGGUUCUCCCCGAAAGCUAUUUAGGUAGCGCCUCGUGAAUUCAUCUCCGGGGGUAGAGCACUGUUUCGGCAAGGGGGUCAUCCCGACUUACCAACCCGAUGCAAACUGCGAAUACCGGAGAAUGUUAUCACGGGAGACACACGGCGGGUGCUAACGUCCGUCGUGAAGAGGGAAACAACCCAGACCGCCAGCUAAGGUCCCAAAGUCAUGGUUAAGUGGGAAACGAUGUGGGAAGGCCCAGACAGCCAGGAUGUUGGCUUAGAAGCAGCCAUCAUUUAAAGAAAGCGUAAUAGCUCACUGGUCGAGUCGGCCUGCGCGGAAGAUGUAACGGGGCUAAACCAUGCACCGAAGCUGCGGCAGCGACGCUUAUGCGUUGUUGGGUAGGGGAGCGUUCUGUAAGCCUGCGAAGGUGUGCUGUGAGGCAUGCUGGAGGUAUCAGAAGUGCGAAUGCUGACAUAAGUAACGAUAAAGCGGGUGAAAAGCCCGCUCGCCGGAAGACCAAGGGUUCCUGUCCAACGUUAAUCGGGGCAGGGUGAGUCGACCCCUAAGGCGAGGCCGAAAGGCGUAGUCGAUGGGAAACAGGUUAAUAUUCCUGUACUUGGUGUUACUGCGAAGGGGGGGACGGAGAAGGCUAUGUUGGCCGGGCGACGGUUGUCCCGGUUUAAGCGUGUAGGCUGGUUUUCCAGGCAAAUCCGGAAAAUCAAGGCUGAGGCGUGAUGACGAGGCACUACGGUGCUGAAGCAACAAAUGCCCUGCUUCCAGGAAAAGCCUCUAAGCAUCAGGUAACAUCAAAUCGUACCCCAAACCGACACAGGUGGUCAGGUAGAGAAUACCAAGGCGCUUGAGAGAACUCGGGUGAAGGAACUAGGCAAAAUGGUGCCGUAACUUCGGGAGAAGGCACGCUGAUAUGUAGGUGAAGUCCCUUGCGGAUGGAGCUGAAAUCAGUCGAAGAUACCAGCUGGCUGCAACUGUUUAUUAAAAACACAGCACUGUGCAAACACGAAAGUGGACGUAUACGGUGUGACGCCUGCCCGGUGCCGGAAGGUUAAUUGAUGGGGUCAGCGCAAGCGAAGCUCUUGAUCGAAGCCCCGGUAAACGGCGGCCGUAACUAUAACGGUCCUAAGGUAGCGAAAUUCCUUGUCGGGUAAGUUCCGACCUGCACGAAUGGCGUAAUGAUGGCCAGGCUGUCUCCACCCGAGACUCAGUGAAAUUGAACUCGCUGUGAAGAUGCAGUGUACCCGCGGCAAGACGGAAAGACCCCGUGAACCUUUACUAUAGCUUGACACUGAACAUUGAGCCUUGAUGUGUAGGAUAGGUGGGAGGCUUUGAAGUGUGGACGCCAGUCUGCAUGGAGCCGGCCUUGAAAUACCACCCUUUAAUGUUUGAUGUUCUAACGUGGACCCGUGAUCCGGGUUGCGGACAGUGUCUGGUGGGUAGUUUGACUGGGGCGGUCUCCUCCUAAAGAGUAACGGAGGAGCACGAAGGUUGGCUAAUCCCUGGUCGGACAUCAGGAGGUUAGUGCAAUGGCAUAAGCCAGCUUGACUGCGAGCGUGACGGCGCGAGCAGGUGCGAAAGCAGGUCAUAGUGAUCCGGUGGUUCUGAAUGGAAGGGCCAUCGCUCAACGGAUAAAAGGUACUCCGGGGAUAACAGGCUGAUACCGCCCAAGAGUUCAUAUCGACGGCGGUGUUUGGCACCUCGAUGUCGGCUCAUCACAUCCUGGGGCUGAAGUAGGUCCCAAGGGUAUGGCUGUUCGCCAUUUAAAGUGGUACGCGAGCUGGGUUUAGAACGUCGUGAGACAGUUCGGUCCCUAUCUGCCGUGGGCGCUGGAGAACUGAGGGGGGGCUGCUCCUAGUACGAGAGGACCGGAGUGGACGCAUCACUGGUGUUCGGGUUGUCAUGCCAAUGGCACUGCCCGGUAGCUAAAUGCGGAAGAGAUAAGUGCUGAAAGCAUCUAAGCACGAAACUUGCCCCGAGAUGAGUUCUCCCUGACCCUUUAAGGGUCCUGAAGGAACGUUGAAGACGACGACGUUGAUAGGCCGGGUGUGUAAGCGCAGCGAUGCGUUGAGCUAACCGGUACUAAUGAACCGUGAGGCUUAACCUUACAACGCCGAAG